AACAACUCCAAAGUGGAAAGCCUGAAGUAACUGUGAAAUCUAUUUCUGGAGAAUUUCUGAAAAUAAGAUGCUUGCAUAGAAUUUCUAAAUACUGCUAAUGAAGCAGGCCUGUAGUUCACCGUGUUCCUCUUUUAUCGGCCAGUAUUACCAGAAAGCUCCAAGGAGAGAUGCAACACUUAAUGGGAAAGAUUAAGCUAAAAGAUAUAGUCACACUGCAACAAAAAAAAAAAAAAAAAAAAAAGAGAAAAUGAGCAAGCUCUACAAAGGGAAGUUCAGUAAUGUGAAACAGGCUGCUCAACAAAAAGAGGAAAAGGCAGAGAUCCAGCAGUGUCAAUGUAUGUACCUACAGUGAACUGAACUCUGAGUUGUAGCAGAAAGUGGUCUAAACAAAAAAGGAAACAAACAAAAAAGGACCUUGUUUAAAAAGUAGCUGCAUGGGCCAAAAAGAGAAGCAAACAACCAAGCAGUGUCAGAAGUUCCAAAUCCCCUGCCACGUUUUGCUGCUGCUUGCGCAGUUGAAGAGAAGGAAAAGCAAGGAGAAAAUUUGUGAAUAAGAAAUGUCACUUAGACCUGAAUGGAAGAGAUUUGGCAAAAAAUAUAGCAUGUGUCGUCAUCUUCAGGUGAUGCAGCACUUCCAGAAAAGACAAUCACAGAGGGCUGCUAGGCAAUUUGAAGAUGUCCGUGGGGAGAUGGUAUCAAAGACACUGCGAGCUCUAAAAUUAACAUCAAAAAUGAUGUAUCCAGAAGAAAGACUUUGUACCUACAACUGCUUUCACAGCUGCAAACCUUUUCUUUUAGAACAUUUUGUGUAUCUCAUGGCUAUGUUGUUUACAGCUUUUCUGCAAGUUUUUGUUUUUCCCCAUGGAAGCAACUGAAAAAAAAAAAACCCUUAAGUGUGCAUAUCUGUUCAAGUCUGGUUGGAUGUUACCCAGAAGCUGCUGGGUAAUGGGUUUUUGAGCCUAUGCAGUAAUUGUAACUCAUCACCAGUAUGUUAUGCAAGAUUGUGCAAAUAAUGGUUCCAUUUGAAGAAUUAUAGAAUUAUCCAAUCUUGUCAUCACUAAGUAAAAUUCUAAUUCAAAAUGCUGCAGUGAAUGGUAGCCCAG
rnacentral:lncRNA from 1 species